UGCCACUCUUAACGGGGUGGCUUUUCAUAAAUGUAAAAAGCUUCUGGAAUAAGGGCUGGGCAAGACAGGUGCCAGCCGCCGCGGUAACACCGGCAGCUCACGUGGGAGCCGCUUUUAUUGGGCCUAAAGCGUCCGUAGCCGGUCUGAUAAGUCUCUGGUGAAAUCCCACAGCUUAACUGUGGGAAUUGCUGGAGAUACUAUCAUGACUCGAGGUCGGGAGAAGCUGGAAGUACUCCCAGGGUAGGGGUGAAAUCCUGUAAUCCUGGGAGGACCACCUGUGGCGAAAGCGUCCAGCUGGAACGAACCUGACGGUGAAGGACGAAAGCCAGGGGCGCGAACCGGAAUAAAUACCCGGGUAGUCCUGGCCGUAAACGAUGUGGACUUGGUGUUGAGAUGGCUUCCAGCUGCCCCAGUGCCGAAAGGAAGCUGUUAAGUCCACCGCCUGGGAAGUACGGCCGCA
rnacentral:rRNA from 1 species